GGGCCAGGCACAGCUGGACCUCGUGGAGCCUCAGCAGCUCGGGACCCAGGCCCGGGGCCAGGCCCCCCGCUCCACAGCCUUCCAUGUCCGCAGGGGGGACUAACACCAGCUCGGACCCCAGAGCGGUGGCCUGCACUGGCCGCUCGGCUACCUGUGGCCGCUCUGGCUCGGCCGCCCUGGGGUGUCCCUGGGCAGCUGGCUUGUUGCUGGUCACGUGCCCUGCAGGGGCCACCCCCACCUCGUCCCUUGGGCCCCCUGCCGCAGGGGGCGGGGGCUUGGCCUCAGGGCCCUGCUGACCCGAGGCCUGCUGUGCCUUGCCCGCCCUCCUGGCUCGGGCUCUUCGAGCCCGACUUCGUCUCCCCGACAUGGCCCGCGAUCCGGCGCCUUUCACCCGGUGUCUGCUGCCCCGGGGCCCUAGCUCAUUGCCGGCCAGCCUUGAUCAGGCGGGCUCAGGGGCCAUCCCCGGGAGGCCACAGUGGGUCCUCCGCUCCUGCCCUGCCCCUUGGCUGGUGUCUAUGAUGCGGCGGCUCCGGGCCCUGGCUCUGCCUGUGGGGCUCACGGGCCCCGCUCGUUGGGCUGGGCCACGCUGGGGAGUUUAUAGGGACUCCGGCGGCGUGGUGGCUCACCCAGGCGCGAGGGCUGACUAACGUGCUGACACAGGGCGCAGGACUUUACAGGCCACAGGCCUCGUUGGCCAGACUGGGAGGGAGACUGAGAAACUGGCGGAGGUGACUCGGCAACCAGAUCGCAGGCUGUGUAGCGAGUCUGGUCCUGCCCUGGGCGGGCAACAGUGCCUCCGCCCCCCACCGCCCACCCCUGCCCCCGCCCCACCCCUGGUCCAGCUCAGGGCCGGCCGGCCGGGCCGGGCCGGGCCGGGAGCUGCAUCCCAGCCUGACCACAGGGAGUCCCGACCCAACUGGCAUGGGAGGCUCCAGAUCACACUGAGCACCCUGGCAACCCCCCCCCCCAUCCCCCAGCCGGCCAGAGGGGCCCCACAGGGGCGCACGCUUGCCCGGGGUGCUCUGUGGAGGUGACAGAGCUGUUCGCCCAGAGUGGUGGCCUCUUGAGGGGGGUGGUGCUGGCACUCAGUGGGGGCUGACUGGAGAGGUGGGGCCUUGAAAGGCAUUUUGUGGACUGGCAUGGGGUAGUAAGCAACAGUCCAUCCUGCCCUGGGGUGGGGCGGUGGCUCUGGAAGCCUCGCGCUUGGGGGUCCAGCUGCCCUGCCCACAGAAGCAAAGGCCUUUGGAUCCCCAGGGACGGACCUUGGCUGGUGGGGGGGUGCACAGGGCCGGACGAGUGCUGGCGUCCCCCGGGGCUUCCUGUUGGGAGGAGGCCCCAGACGGCCUCCUCCCCAGCCCUCCUCCCCAGCGUUUCCCCAGCCUGGGGCCGCUGACUCACACCCACGCCCAGGGCCCCAUCCCAGCCGGCUCUGCCACACUGGCUUGACCGGUUUGCCUCGCCCAGCCCUGCUGGGAGCACCCUCUUCGUCCUCCCGCUCGGCCCUCGCCCCUGAAGCUUCGGGGGAGCACAGGCGGACACACAGGGAGUAGGGCCUGCGCGACCGACGCGGCACCAGAUGCGGGCGGCCCUAGGGGUGGAGCAAACAGCGGCUCCUCCUCCCGGAGGCUUCGCAGCACCUGGGCUCGCGGGAGCUGGGGCCUCGGGACCCAGGGAAGCCGGGAGCGCACCGCCAGCCGCCAGGGCAGAGGGAGACCGGCCCGCAGGCCGAGGCCCCCGCAGCGGGCUGUGUCUGGGCGUGUCACAGUGAGAUGCAGAGCCAGCCACCCUUGUCUGGUGUCCCCAGCCUGCUCCUGCCGCGUGCCCAUCCUCGUGCCUUUCCAGACCUGCGUGUCUCUGUCAUCCCAGUCCUGCUCAGUGUGUGUUCCUGAGGAGCCAGCCAAGCCUUUCACCAGUGUCCUGGGGUCCCAUUUUCUGCACACUCCCGGCCACUCUUCCCACCCAUAGGGAGUGGUGACCGGGUGCCCCUGGGGGAGCCCCUCCACCGCCGUCUUUUAGGGUCCCCCUGACAGAGGAGCGUAAUAGGCGGCGAUCACAUGGCUGAGCCUCCUGUGCAUCAAGGCGAGACUUUGCUCCGCCUCCUGUCCUCCCAGGUGGCGAGGCUGUGAUCCUGCUGGAGAGAGGACAGGACGGCAGGACCGUGUGGGUCACGGAAGGUACUGUGCCUCCUCGGUGGCUCGUUGUUGUCACGCAGUGGGUUGCCGCUGCGUGUGCCCCGUGCGGGGCUCCACGGGCGAGGACCCCAGGCGGCGAUUGACCGCCCGGUUUGCACGUCCUCCGGUGCCCCAGCCGGACCCCCGCCUCCCCAGGGGCCAAACCACGAAUGGUGUUCUGUCCCGGAAGGCAGAGCCUUACUCUAGAGCCUGCGGCCGUCCCCCGGCCUUGCUGACGGCAUCCUUCUCCCCACAGACCCUCCGGCAGGGCCGGCCUCGCCUCCUGCCUCCGCCACAACCUCCGGGCCCUGCUGGAGCCGGGAGCCUUUUCUGGGUCUCUCAGUAAGCGGGGUGGGCCAUACUCCCAGGUAUGGCUUGUGCUGCUCUCAAGUCCUCACGGGCCAUUUCUCCUUUACCUUGAGAUGUCCCAACACGCCCCGGAUUCGUGAGCCCUCAAGACUUCACCGGCGUGCUUUUGCCUCCGCUGUCUGGAGCUCCCUGGGCCAGGGAGGUGCCAGGAACAUCUGGGUUCCCGUGUCCACUGUCUGCAGUUGCUGUGACAGCCAGCACUGUAGCUUAGAAGCCCGACAUGGGCCUCGGCGGGUGACAGAAAGGCCAUGGCAAGACCGAGAUCCUUCCUGGGGCUCCAGAGGGAAUCUGUGGCCUCCCUCCUGGAGGUGCCCGCGUUCCCGGCUCCUGGCCCUUCCUCACCUUCCGGGUCAGCAGUGUGGCAUCUGUUGGACCUUCUUUCGAGUCACAGCCGCCUAUGAGCUCUUCUGUCUUUCUUCCACUUUUUUUUUUUUUUUUUUAAGCUUGUAUAUUUUGAGAGACAGCACAUGAGCAGGGGUGGGGCAGAGAGAAAAUCCCCAGCAGGCUCCGCACUGUCAUCACAGAGCCCGACGUGGGGCUGGAACUCACGAACCGUGAGAUCAUGACCUGGGUCAAAAUCAAGAGUCAGACGCUCACCGGACUGAGCCGCCCAGGCGCCCCCGUCUCUUCGACUUGUAAGAAGCCUUGUGAUUGCAUUGCGUCUACCUGCAUAACCCAGGGUGAUCAUCCUAUUUUAAGGUCAGCUGAUUAGUGCCUUAAUUCCAUCUUCAAUCUUAAUUCCUUCCUGCAUGUAACACAGCACAUUCGCGGGCUCUGGGGACCAGCACGUGGGCAUCUUUGGCAGGGGCAUCGUUCUGUCUCCCACGGUCCCUGUGAGCCAUAGCGGAGUAGAAGGCAGAGCGUAGCCGGGGUCUUGAGAAGAGAUGGUGAAGGGAGACUGCCGCCCUGGCCAGGCCCUCCCGGUGAUGGCCGUUGACGGGAAAGCAUGUGCCAAAUCAGUCGCCACACACGAUCGGCCGGAGGCGGAUCGGCUCCCGCGAAGGCGCCGCUUCCGGAGGGUAGACCCGACCGGCCCUGCCACCCAUUCGAGGCCACCAUGCUCGUGCUCCGUUAUCUUCUGCCAUUACUCACUUUCUGCAAAGGCCGGAUUGGUGAAGUCAAUGGAGAUAUUCUGGGGACCCCACUCCCGCUCUCCUCGAGCCUUCCUGCCUUCUUGUCUAAAUUAAGGCUUUAUUUUUUAGAGCACUUUCAGGUUCCCAGCAGCACGGAGGGGAAAGCACACACACUUCACAUAUACCCCCUGCCCCCACUCGUGUGCGAUCUCCCCAGCUGUCAGCAUCCCCGCCAGAGUGGUACCUGCGUCCCAGUCAGUGAACGGACACGGGUACCUGAUCGUGAUGCCUCGUCAGCAGCCGGCAUCCACAGUUUACCUCAGGGCUCGCUCUAGGCCCGAACGUUCUGCGGGUUUGGACAGACGUGUAAUCCGUGUGCCCGAUACCGAGAGUGUCACACGGAGUAGCUUCACCGCCCUGAAUCCUCUGUCCGUCCCGUCCCCCGGCCCCUGGCCCCCACUCGUCUUUUACCGUCUCCACGGUUUUGCCUUUUCCAGAAUGUCACAGACUUGGAAUCGUACCGUGCGUAGCCUUUUCGGACUGGCUUCUUUUACCUCGUAAUAUGCAUCUAGGGCCCCUCCAGGUCUUUUCACGGCUCGACAGCCCGUUCCUACUUAGUGCCGACCCACAUCCCGUUGUCUGGAUGGACCGCAGGCUGUCCGUUCACCUGCUGACGGACACCUCGGCUGUUCCAGGGUUUGGGGGCUCUGAAUGAAGCCGCUGUGAACACCCGUGUGCAGGUUGUCGUGUGGACACAAGUUCUCAUCUCCUUUAGGUAAACAGCAAGGAGCGUGACUCCAGGAUCACGUGGCCAGAGCAUGUUUAAUUUUAUAAGAACUCUCCAGACUGUCUUCCAAAGUGGCUGCCCCAUUCCGUUUUCCCACCAGCCACGAGCGAACGUUCCUGUGGCUCCGCGUCCUCACCAGCAUCGGGUGUUGUCGGUGGUCUGGAUUUUGGCCGUUCUAGUAGUUUAUUUAUGUAUUUGAAGAGGGAGAGAGCAAAAAAGGGAGCGCGAGAGAGCGUCCCAAGCAGGCUCCUUACCGUCAGUGCCAAACCUGAUGCGGGACUCAAACUCAAGAACCGCGAGAUCCUGACCUGCGCCGAAAUCACGAGUGGGCGCCCCGUGUGACAUGCUUUUACCACAUGUGUCUUUUGCAAAUAUUUUCUCCCGUCUGUGGCUCGUCUUCUCACUCUCUGACACUGUCUUUCACAGAGCAGGAAUUUUUUAAGUGAAUGAGGUCCAGCGUAUCAACGAUUUCCUUUCUGGACGGUGCCUUUGAAGUUGCAUCUAAAGAUGGUCAGCAUACCCACGGCCAUCCAGGUUUUGUCCCGUGUCAUCUUCUAAGAGCUUUAUAGUUUCGCAUUUUACGUUCGGGGCUGUGAUCCAUUUUUUUUUUUUUUUAAAGAUUUUAGUUUUUUAAGUAAUGUCUCCACCCAUUGUGGGGCUUGAACCCACAACCCCGAGAUCAGGAAUCGCACACCUCACCGGCUGAGCCGGUCGGUCGCCCCCGGUCUGUGAUCCACUGUGAGUGAAUUUCUGUAAAGUUUGUGCAGCUGUGAGCCUACGUUCUCUCCUCCUUUGCACGUGGGUGACCAGCUGUCCCUGCCCAUUCGUUGGAAAGGCGGCCUUUGCUUCUUGGUAAAGAUCAGUUGACUAUUUACGUGGGUCCCUCCAGUCCUUGGUGUCGCUGCUGAUCUCUACGAGUCCUCCGGGAAAGCACUGUUUCUAUCUUGUCCACCGUCUUGGUCGGGAGGAAGUUUCCUGGGGCCCCGCUUGGCUCUCCCUACCGUAAUGGCCCCGCUGGUCAAGGCGCCGAGGUGAACCUCCUGCCAGCGGCUCAGCAGAUCCAUCCCAACGUACAGGUCCAGGUCGGAGCCGUAGACCUGCCGGACCCGGGGGAGACGACUCAAGCCACGGUGCCUUCCUCGCGGACGCCCCUUCUGCGAGCAGAGGACCCUGACGCUGCUGCAAAGCUGCGGGUGGCGGUGGUGGUUUAGAUACCACCGCCGGGGGUCCUCUGAAGGUCUACACCCCACCCCCCUUUGCCCAGUGUGCGCUUCAUUCAGCUACAGGGCCACGGACCCCUCUGAGGAAGGACUGGGAGAGUAUUCGGUGUCGGGACAGAGCUUGUGGCUGGGUCCUCCUCCGAGAGCGGCUCCGCCUUUGACUUUGGCGCUGGUCUGGGACCGCGGGCGACUGUGAUGGCUGACGUCAGAUAUCUGCUCGGCAGAGCCUGGGGUUAUUCUGACUUUACAGAUCGAACGGUGCCCCGCACACUGCCCACGUGUCCUGUCGCACGUCAGAGCGCCCUGACCACCACUCUGCCUUCUGCCCGUCACGACGCCAUGCUGCAGCCACUUAACCUCUUCGCUUCCAGAAGCCGGUCAUUCCCCUCGGAGUCGCCACCGAGCUCUGCAGUCACUCACGAGUGUCUUUCUUCCUUUUGUCUUUUUAAAGUAAUUUUAAAAUGA